rnacentral:misc_RNA from 1 species
AAGUCGUAACAAGGUUUCCGUAGGUGAACCUGCGGAAGGAUCAUUAAUUAUCCUCGAAAUAGAGGUAGAUGCUCCGAUUCAUGCUUGGGCAACCGGCUGUCUACGUUGAUCUACCUUUACUCUUCAUGGACAUCCCUUCUGUGUAUCAACCCUUUGUUGCUUCCCGCAUGGCGUGGCCCGCCAGGGUUGCUCUGCGGGGAGGAUAUCAUAAACUCUGGUUGUUGUGUUGUUUGUCUGAGUGGUAAACACAUUAAAAACAAGUUAAAACUUUCAACAACGGAUCUCUUGGUUCUC